rnacentral:rRNA from 1 species
GUCGAACGAUGAACCAGGAGCUUGCUCUUGGGGAUUAGUGGCGAACGGGUGAGUAACACGUGAGUAACCUGCCCUUGACUCUGGGAUAACCUCCGGAAACGGAAGCUAAUACCGGAUACGAACUGCGAAGGCAUCUUCAGCAGUUGGAAAGAACUUCGGUCAAGGAUGGACUCGCGGCCUAUCAGGUAGUUGGUGAGGUAACGGCUCACCAAGCCUACGACGGGUAGCCGGCCUGAGAGGGUGACCGGCCACACUGGGACUGAGACACGGCCCAGACUCCUACGGGAGGCAGCAGUGGGGAAUAUUGCACAAUGGGCGCAAGCCUGAUGCAGCAACGCCGCGUGAGGGAUGACGGCCUUCGGGUUGUAAACCUCUUUUAGUAGGGAAGAAGCGAAAGUGACGGUACCUGCAGAAAAAGCACCGGCUAACUACGUGCCAGCAGCCGCGGUAAUACGUAGGGUGCGAGCGUUGUCCGGAAUUAUAGGGCGUAAAGAGCUCGUAGGCGGUCUGUCGCGUCUGCUGUGAAAACCCGAGGCUCAACCUCGGGCCUGCAGUGGGUACGGGCAGACUAGAGUGCGGUAGGGGAGAAUGGAAUUCCUGGUGUAGCGGUGGAAUGCGCAGAUAUCAGGAGGAACACCGAUGGCGAAGGCAGUUCUCUGGGCCGUAACUGACGCUGAGGAGCGAAAGCGUGGGGAGCGAACAGGAUUAGAUACCCUGGUAGUCCACGCCGUA